rnacentral:snRNA from 14 species
AAGCUUGUGUAAGGUUAUAAUGCUGGUCAUUUCUGUGGAGGCUCAGCAUUGCACUCCGCUGUGUUGAAGCCUGCGACGGACUCUAAUCGGGUUCGCUCGGGUGCAUAGUUUUUGCCAGUGGGGAGCCUUCGGGCGUCCCUU